GAGACGGCGAGAAAGCAAAGGCAACGAGAGAAUAAAAGCGAGAAGGCGGAAGGGAGAGGAACGGCGGUGACGCCACGACGUAUUUAUAGGCAGCGGUCCGCCAACGGACAGAUCCGAGAAAUAAGGUAACUCCCUCCCUUAAAUGCGCCACCUAAUCGUCUCUUUCCCACACAGGCAUGGCGUCCCGAAUUCCACGCCGACGCAGUGUCGUAACGUCAUCCGCCUAAAAAGGCGCGCCCAACAGGCAGAAAGGCGAACCGCC
rnacentral:lncRNA from 1 species